rnacentral:lncRNA from 1 species
AGCCACCCGACUCGAUCUAGAGUCAAUCAAUCGCGGAUAGUCCGCGCACUGUCUAGCUCGAGGUGAAGGAACUCUCACGUGCACCUCAGCUGGCAACAGCUCACCGUACUCCUGUCCUAGCCGUCUGGCGGCGAACGAAUCGCACCUCACCCAACAACGGCCUAGGUUCAAUGACUUAGUCACCCGGCGGCGAAAUUGUCGCACACACGCCACGACAGUGGUUCAGUCAACAGGCGGUAGGAUCCACAAACUGGCUAACUAUCCGGCGGCGAAAUCGUCGCACACACGCCACGACAAUGGUUCUCUAGCCCCUGGGCGGCGAGAUCGUCGCACACACCCGACACCACUUUGGGUGUAGCAGCAAGCAGCGGGAUUCCGGAAUCCAUAUCACAUCAACCAAGGGUUGGUCUUAACCCUAUGGAACUGACCUCUCUAGGUCUAAGCAUUUAUCUCCUAGGUCCAAUUGACUCUAGGUUCAACAUCCUUUACACAAUCUAAGUUAUUACUUUAGGUUUAUGGCUUUCACAUUCUUAACCUAGGUUUAUUACACUAGGAUCAUCAUUCUUUUCCAACUUAGGUUCACUUAACUCUAGGUUAAGCAGCUUUCAUUUCACAACCUAUGUUCUUUACAUUAGGUUUAACAUCACUCUUAUUUAACCUAUGUUCUUUACAUUAGGUUUAGCAUCAUUCUUAUUUAACCUACGUUCAAAACUCUAGGUUAAAUGCCACUCGAUCUAUAGGUUUAUUCAUGUCCACCUAUAUAUAUUCCUUACUUAGCAUUCUCAACAUGUACUUGCAUUCACUGUUUUUGCAUCAUACUUAUCAUCUAU